rnacentral:lncRNA from 1 species
GGGUUAGUGGAACAACAAUUUUUGAUCCCAAAAUUGGAAUAUUUAUGGGUGGAUUUUUUUUCUCCUAGAAAUGUAGUUUAUGCUGCUUUAUCUAUUAGAAAGAAUUUAAGAUUGUUUAUCAAUUUUAAAUUAUAUUCGAAUGUUUAUCUACUAAAGGUAUAAUAAAAUUUAUUCAUGAUCUUGUGAUAGAUUAAUUAAGUCAAGAGCAGUUGAUGUUUUUGGUGAGAAACUUGAUAUUGUUA